UGAAUGGGCUAUUGGUAGAAAAGGAA
rnacentral:piRNA from 1 species